rnacentral:rRNA from 1 species
ACGCUGGCGGCAUGCCUUACACAUGCAAGUCGAACGGCAGCGCGUCCUUCGGGAUGGCGGCGAGUGGCGAACGGGUGAGUAAAGCAUCGGAACGUGCCCGGUAGUGCGGGAUAGCUCGGCGAAAGCCGGAUUAAUACCGCAUGAGAUCCGUGGAUGAAAGCAGGGGACCCGCAAGGGCCUUGCGCUACUGGAGCGGCCGAUGUCAGAUUAGGUAGUUGGUGGGGUAAAGGCCCACCAAGCCUGCGAUCUGUAGCUGGUCUGAGAGGAUGAUCAGCCACAUCGGGACUGAGACACGGCCCGAACUCCUACGGGAGGCAGCAGUGGGGAAUUUUGGACAAUGGGCGCAAGCCUGAUCCAGCCAUGCCGCGUGCAGGAUGAAGGCCUUCGGGUUGUAAACUGCUUUUGUACGGAACGAAAGGGCUCUUUCUAAUAAAGAGGGCACAUGACGGUACCGUAAGAAUAAGCACCGGCUAACUACGUGCCAGCAGCCGCGGUAAUACGUAGGGUGCGAGCGUUAAUCGGAAUUACUGGGCGUAAAGCGUGCGCAGGCGGUCUUGCAAGACAGUGGUGAAAUCCCCGGGCUCAACCUGGGAACUGCCACUGUGACUGCAAGGCUGGAGUACGGCAGAGGGGGAUGGAAUUCCGCGUGUAGCAGUGAAAUGCGUAGAUAUGCGGAGGAACACCGAUGGCGAAGGCAGUCCCCUGGGCCUGUACUGACGCUCAUGCACGAAAGCGUGGGGAGCAAACAGGAUUAGAUACCCUGGUAGUCCACGCCCUAAACGAUGUCAACUGGUUGUUGGGGAUUUAUUUCUUCAGUAACGAAGCUAACGCGUGAAGUUGACCGCCUGGGGAGUACGG